rnacentral:lncRNA from 1 species
AGUGAGAGACAGAAUAUCAACAAAAACAUCCAGAAAACUGCAUGUUAUAACAGUUUUGAAUUUAUUUGCAUUUGAUUGCGGCAAAUAAGUAUUUGAACCCCUAGCAAAACAUGACUUAGUACUUGGUGGAGUAACCCUUGUUGGCAAGCACAGACGUCAGACUGUUCUUCUAGUUGGUCACCAGGUUGUUGCUGCUGCAAACUUGUGAGAAGGCAGACACUUCCAGUACAGGGGCAGGAAACACCAGCCUCGUUACGCUGCUCUAAGUUGGCAAGACUAAGGUACACAUGUUAUAUUGUACAGACCUUACGCAAAUCAAGCUCAGGCAUAUUAAUGAGUAUUAAAAGAAACACUGUAUUAUGCCUGACCAUACAACAGCAGCAUACAUAUUGCCUAUGUUAUUGAACCCAUUCCUAGUUACAGUAAAUCUUCACCUGUUUUGCAGGAGGCUCUAGAUCUGGCUGUGAGCCAGGGUCUAUGGCACCAUGCCCUCCUCUUGGAGACCUUCAGUAGGAAAGUAGCACCUACCUGGGUAAUGAAAAAAUUCGUUAGUAGUCUCAACAACGAUCCGCUGAAGACUUACUAUCAGGUCCGGAUGGGUGAAAUCCCUUCAGUUGCCUCUGCAAAUGACAAUGAGAGCUGGGGAGAGUGGCAUCUCCAUCUUGCUGCUGUUCUAGUGAACUCGUCCUGCUUCUCUCAUUGCCAAGAGACUGUUUUGAAGAUGAAAGAAACCUUGGCAUCAAAAGGACUGGUCCAAGCGGCCCACUUUUGUGGAAUGGUGCAGCAGUUGGAGCCUGAGCACCUG